rnacentral:rRNA from 1 species
AGAGUUUGAUCAUGGCUCAGAUUGAACGCUGGCGGUAUGCCUAACACAUGCAAGUCGAACGAGGUAGCAAUACCUAGUGGCGGACGGGUGAGGAAUACGUAGGGAUCUGCCCUUAAGUGGGGGAUAACCCGGGGAAACCCGGAUUAAUACCGCAUGAUCUCGCAAGAGCAAAGAGGGGGACCGCAAGGCCUCUCGCUUUUGGAGGAACCUACGUCGGAUUAGCUAGUUGGUGAGGUAAUGGCUCACCAAGGCGACGAUCCGUAACUGGUCUGAGAGGAUGAUCAGUCACACCGGAACUGAGACACGGUCCGGACUCCUACGGGAGGCAGCAGUGGGGAAUAUUGGACAAUGGGCGAAAGCCUGAUCCAGCAAUACCGCGUGUGUGAAGAAGGCCUUCGGGUUGUAAAGCACUUUAAGUUGGGAAGAAAAAGCUUCACCUAAUACGUGAAGCCUUGACGGUACCGACAGAAUAAGCACCGGCUAACUCUGUGCCAGCAGCCGCGGUAAUACAGAGGGUGCUAGCGUUAAUCGGAUUUACUGGGCGUAAAGCGUGCGUAGGUGGUUUGAUAAGUCGAUUGUGAAAGCCCCGGGCUUAACCUGGGAAUUGCGGUCGAUACUGUCAGACUCGAAAACGGUAGAGGGAGGUGGAACUCCAGGUGUAGCGGUGAAAUGCGUAGAUAUCUGGAAGAACACCGAUGGCGAAGGCAGCUUCCUGGGCCUGUUUUGACACUGAGGCACGAAAGCGUGGGUAGCAAACAGGAUUAGAUACCCCGGUAGUCC